GAAUCGGUUGAUGCUGCACAUUUAUGGGCUCAGAAGUGGGGUGAUCUUCCACCGACCCUGCGAAAUGGCGCAAGUAUUGGUCUGACCAAAAAAGGCAUGCCAGAGAGAGGGAGGUGCUGCGAAGGUCAACGCUGGAGAAAAGUGGACGCAAUGGGCUUGGGCAUUUAAAGGAAGCGUUCGAUUUCGAAAAAAGGGCGCUUCAACUCAUGGUCCCAGCAGUCGUCACAGAAAACAACAAGAAAUGCUAAAUCUGACGAGAAGGCGACUUAAUGGGUAUAGUAUAGGCCCAGCUAAGUUUAAAAUACACAAUGAACCAUAAUUGUGCAUACGGCCAUAAAAAGGGGGUUUAACUUUACAGAAUGCCUCGCUUCACGGCCACCCGCACUAAGACCGAGAAACGGGUCGAUCAUUUUAAGAUUCCCUGUCGGUUGUGCGGUAACAACCACGGAGUACGACUCUGCCCCAUAUACCGAGGGAAAUCCGCCGAGGAAAGGUUGCGGGCGAUUUUGAUACAUCGGUACUGUCCCAACUGUUUGUCGCCAUUCCAUCGGAUAGAAAUAUGUGGAAGCAAUGACCGAUGCCACCGCUGCGACGAAAAGCACCAUACCCCCCUGCAUAUUGAAGACUAGGGCGAUCCAAGGGAAACGACGGCUCUGACGGAGCGAUUUCGCUCCACGUGUCCGACCAAACGACGUCAUGGGCGAAGCAGGUAGAGGAAGAAGA